UGGCUAUCUCGAUGCGUCUGGCUCGGGUCAAGUACUUAUUGAAAUGAAACUCCUUCUCCAGUUCUGUCAGCUGCUUGGUGCUGAAAUUCGUGCGGAUCGCGCUGGAGGGGCUAGCGGCUCCACACUCGAUACUACUCUUCCAUGAAAACGAUCCAGACGAGCUAUGGGAACCAGUCAAGAUAUUUUGCCACAAGAUCUAGGACAAGAGUGCUUAACCAACAUCUCCCAUCUGGCAGAUCUCCCAGGGACCCUUCACCUGCUUCUGCUACUGCAAACAGUUGGACAUGCAUUUACCUUGGCCCUUUUUUCAAGUGUGGAAAUCUUUUGUUCACUGGACAUCCGGCUGCACUUGGCCUGAAAUUUCUGAAAGAAGGACCAAAGGAAUGCCAAGAACUCCCAGAGGAAGAAGACCUUUCUAGAUCUGUAACUGGGACGAACCAAGUCUUAACUUUGGGAGGAAGUUUCAACUCAUUCUCAGGAUAUGUCAAAGCAGGCCUGGGACUGCCCUUUGAAUCCUGAAGGUGGCAACAAGCUUCUGGCUUCCCCAGGUCAAGUAGAAGUUGGGUUCCUUCUUUGUUAUUCAAACAUACACCCACACACACAGCCCCUUCACCCUCCCUAAUG